GAAAAUUGAAAUGGGAAAUGUGUCAAAGAGACAACAACCUGACCAAAUAACAGAAAACAGUCCAACGCACCAAUGGUUGUUUAACAUAGUGAGAAAUGCCGAAUCCGAAGGCCGGCUUCAACUAGUCUGAAAACAAAAAUGUGUAUUAGUUCAGUGAAAAUGGACGUCACAUCAAAACUGAGGCGGGAAUAAACAUGUUUUGUGAGAAAUCAACCGUCCUAUUAUACCUCUACCCCAUGUAGAAUAAACAAAAAUACAGCAAUACGCACAGUUAAACUCAAUUCAAAACUGCUCACAAGG
rnacentral:lncRNA from 1 species